GCUAAGCAGAGGGAAUCGAGUUAGCCAUCACGAUGAAGAGUUGGACAAUUCUAGCCUUGCUGGUCGCAAUCUGUGCUGUGUUUCUUGGUGUUGGACACACUGAAGAAACUGCAGAUGAUUUCAGAGAAACAGUUUUGGAAGAUGCCUAUAGUGACACUGAAAAUGAUGCGCAACUCCUUACUUUUAUUAGAAAUUUUCCUUAUUUUUAAUUUAGAAAUUUUCAAUUUAAUACAACUUAAGAUAUUGAGUUGGGGGGAGGCUUAUUAGGCCUACUGCAUGGGCUUCCAGGAAGAACAGUUCAGAAAUUAUAGAUUACCCAGUAUAAAUAAAGUUAGUUUAGUUUAGGUUUCCUCCUGUUGUAACACUGGACAAAUAAAGGAUGGCUCUGCUUGCUGAACCUCUGCAGUUUAGAGAUAGUAUAUGAAAACACAUAUAUGUAUAAUAUCCAGUGUAAUUUAAUUAAAUAUUAAAAAUGAUCGUUUUAACCAUAGACAUCUUAUAUACACUAGAUAGCGCAUUUCUUUUAGUAAAAUUGAAGCCAAGAAUAUUCCAGCGGUUACCCCCAUUUGAAUAGAUGGCGGCCAUGUCGGUCGUUCCCACUCGCUAAUAAACGCUUAAAAACAACAAUAACUUUCAUCAUUUCAAUAGUUUAAAAAUGUAUUUGGAAUAGGUUUAACUUAAUGUUUAAGUUCCCUGUUUAAGAAAUAGAAAACAUACGAAUCUUCUCAUUUCAUGGGAAUAUCCUGAGUCUGCAAUCACGGCUUCAAUUUUUGAAUUGUAGAAUAAUUAGAUGCACUAUCUAGUGUAUGUAAGAUAUAUCUAUGGUUUUAACAGUUAAAGUAUUUUCAUUUUUGCAGGGCAGAUUCAUUCAUGAAUCCAGAAAAUGAUGAUGACGACAACGAUGAUGGUAAUGGCGAUGAUGAAUCGUAAGUAAAAAUAUCUAUUACUGUUCUACACUCGACACUACAUGGGUAAAUAUCUACAUUUUGGAGCUUCUCGUUCGAUAGGACUAAUAGUACAUUUUUGUAGAUGGAAUAUUCGAACGUAAAUUUGUAUUCAUUUUUGUAUCUGCGCGGAGCGCUAGAUACCAGAGAUAUUAGAGAGGUUAAGAUACCCCGGUUCCGGUUUACGGGUACGAGUAUCGCCAUUUUGUUUACCAAUUUUUGCUGAUGUCAGCAAUUUUACCCGUAAUUUCUACCCGUUUCCCCGCGGUAAACCGGGGUCUACACGUAAAUGACAAACGGGUACGGGUGGUUUCUGUUUACUAUUUUUGGGCCGUUUAAAUAGUACAAAUUUUCAGCAUCUUACCCCAAUAAAUAAUGCACAUAUGCUCGUCAAAGUUUUCAACAAUUUACGACGAACCUCAACAGCGAAAGUUGCCAUUCUUUGAUCGGUUUUCUCACGCCGGAGUAUCUUGGAUUUCUUAAGUUACAAGUUAUUCCCCGAUUUACGGGUACGGGUACGUGUAUAUCACCCGUACCCGUAAACCGGAAUCGGGGUAUCUUAACCUCUCUACUAUGCUAUCGAGUUUGUGCGUUAAACACUCAGGUCGACUAAUUAGGGCUGUAUGCCUGCGAACAGGCCGUAAAACAAAGAUGGCGGCUUUCUACAGAGUGACGAUUGUUUUAUCCUAGAAGAUUAAUUUAUUUAUUUCGCCCAAUCAUUAUGGUAAUUAUUUACAUAAAAGUAUUAAAGCUACAACUUUAAAUAGGGCAAGGAGUCUAAAGAAACCUUCAUAGGCUUUUAAGGUAAGGCCCUAAUUUAAUGUCCAGUGCAAAGUUUUAUAUUGUGUCAAUCAGUGCCAGUAAAAGUAUUUACAAGAAUAUGAAGAUUAAACAAUAUUGCUUUCACUAGUAAGAAUAAAGUACAUAAGAAGGAGAAAAUUUGGAGAGCUAUAAAGACAUAAUCUGUUAAUUACAUGAAUAUGAAUUAGACUUCCUUGUUUAAAAUAUAAGUUCACUAGAUUGUAUUGACAAUGUCAAUUAUGUAUUUUCGAUUUUUUUUAAAGAUUGGUAGUGAUGUUAUUUUUGUCAAGCUAACAUCAAGAUUAUUCCGAACAUCCACUCCUUUCACUGAGAGUGAGUGCUUAGUAUAAUUAGUUCAAUGGCAAUGCAUAUGAAGUUUCGACGAGUUUCGGGUACUGUAUUACUAUUGGUGAAUUUGGCUAUUUGCCAUAAAAAAUUCGUAAAUGAAUGUGGC